AUUGUUAUUUCUAAAAGUGAAGGUGGAAUGGGUUUUCGAGACCUAUAUUCUUUUAAUUUGGCAAUGCUUUCUAAACAAUGUUGGAGACUCCUUACUAACCCAGAAUCAUUGUGUGCAAGAGUGCUAAAGGCAAAAUAUUACCCUAAUGGAAGCUUACAGCUGCAAGCCAUUCUGAAAAAUGGUGCUUCUUCCACUUGGCAAAGUAUCAUGAAGGGUUUGGAAACUUUUAAGCUAGGGUAUAUAUGGCUUAUUGGUAGGGGGGAAAUGUAA
rnacentral:rRNA from 1 species